rnacentral:rRNA from 1 species
AUUGAACGCUGGCGGCAGGCCUAACACAUGCAAGUCGAGCGGAUGAAGGGAGCUUGCUCCUGGAUUCAGCGGCGGACGGGUGAGUAAUGCCUAGGAAUCUGCCUGGUAGUGGGGGAUAACGUCCGGAAACGGGCGCUAAUACCGCAUACGUCCUGAGGGAGAAAGUGGGGGAUCUUCGGACCUCACGCUAUCAGAUGAGCCUAGGUCGGAUUAGCUAGUUGGUGGGGUAAAGGCCUACCAAGGCGACGAUCCGUAACUGGUCUGAGAGGAUGAUCAGUCACACUGGAACUGAGACACGGUCCAGACUCCUACGGGAGGCAGCAGUGGGGAAUAUUGGACAAUGGGCGAAAGCCUGAUCCAGCCAUGCCGCGUGUGUGAAGAAGGUCUUCGGAUUGUAAAGCACUUUACGUUGGGAGGAAGGGCGGUAAGUUAAUACCUUGCUGUUUUGACGUUACCAACAGAAUAAGCACCGGCUAACUUCGUG